rnacentral:rRNA from 1 species
UACGUAGGGUGCAAGCGUUAUUCGGAAUUACUGGGCGUAAAGCGUGCGCAGGCGGUCUUGCAAGUCAGAUGUGAAAUCCCCGGGCUCAACCUGGGAACUGCAUUUGUGACUGCAAGGCUGGAGUGCGGCAGAGGGGGAUGGAAUUCCGCGUGUAGCAGUGAAAUGCGUAGAUAUCAGGAGGAAUACCGGUGGCGAAAGCGACUCUCUGGACGGCAACUGACGCUGAGGCACGAAAGCGUGGGGAGCAAACAGG